GACGAACGCUGGCGGCGUGCUUAACACAUGCAAGUCGAACGAUGAAGCAAAGAAUCGAUGCUUCGGCAGAAAUUCAUUUCGGAUUAGUGGCAGACGGGUGAGUAACGCGUGAGCAACCUACCUCUUACAAAGGGAUAGCCUCGGGAAACCGGGAUUAAUACCAUAUAACAUUGUGACGAAGCAUUUCGAUGCAAUCAAAGCUACGGCGGUAAGAGAUGGGCUCGCGUCCCAUUAACCGGAUGGUGAGGUAACGGCUCACCAUAGUGACGAUGGGUAACCGGCCUGAGAGGGUGAACGGUCACACUGGAACUGAGACACGGUCCAGACUCCUACGGGAGGCAGCAGUGGGGAAUAUUGCACAAUGGAGGGAACUCUGAUGCAGCGACGCCGCGUGAGUGAUGAAGGAAUUCGUUUCGUAAAACUCUGUUCUAUGGGAAGAAAAGGACUGUACCAUAGGAGAAAGCUCCGGCUAAAUACGUG
rnacentral:rRNA from 1 species